UACGGGGGGAGCAAGCGUUGUUCGGAUUUACUGGGCGUAAAGGGCGCGUAGGCGGCGUAACAAGUCACUUGUGAAAUCUCCGGGCUUAACUCGGAGCGGUCAAGUGAUACUGUUGUGCUAGAGUGCGGAAGGGGCUACUGGAAUUCUCGGUGUAGCGGUGAAAUGCGUAGAUAUCGAGAGGAACACCUGCGGCGAAGGCGGGUAGCUGGGCCGACACUGACGCUGAGGCACGAAGGCCAGGGAGCAAACGGG
rnacentral:rRNA from 1 species